GAGAAUUGCUUGAACCUGGGAGAUGGAGGUUGCAGUGAGCUGAGAUCAUGCUACUGCACUCCUGCCUGGGCGACAGAGUGAGCCUGUCUC
rnacentral:miRNA from 1 species